rnacentral:rRNA from 1 species
AGAGUUUGAUCCUGGCUCAGGACGAACGCUGGCGGCGUGCCUAACACAUGCAAGUCGAGCGGAGAAUGCAGAAAUGUUUACAUGGAAGCGUUCUUAGCGGCGGACGGGUGAGUAACACGUGGGUAACCUGCCUCAAAGUGGGGGAUAGCCUUCCGAAAGGAAGAUUAAUACCGCAUAAGCCUACAGUGCCGCAUGGCACAGUAGGAAAAGGAGCAAUCCGCUUUGAGAUGGACCCGCGGCGCAUUAGCUAGUUGGUGAGGUAACGGCUCACCAAGGCGACGAUGCGUAGCCGACCUGAGAGGGUGAUCGGCCACAUUGGAACUGAGACACGGUCCAGACUCCUACGGGAGGCAGCAGUGGGGAAUAUUGCACAAUGGGCGAAAGCCUGAUGCAGCAACGCCGCGUGAGUGAUGAAGGCCUUCGGGUCGUAAAGCUCUUUGAUCAGGGAUGAUAAUGACAGUACCUGAAAAACAAGCCACGGCUAACUACGUGCCAGCAGCCGCGGUAAUACGUAGGUGGCGAGCGUUGUCCGGAAUUACUGGGCGUAAAGGAUGCGUAGGUGGAUACUUAAGUGGGAUGUGAAAUCCCCGGGCUCAACCCGGGAACUGCAUUCCAAACUGGGUAUCUAGAGUGCANGAGAGGAAAGCCGGAAUUCCUAGUGUAGCGGUGAAAUGCGUAGAUAUUAGGAGGAACACCAGUGGCGAAGGCNGCUUUCUGGACUGUAACUGACACUGAAGCAUGAAAGCGUGGGUAGCAAACAGGAUUAGAUACCCUGGUAGUCCACCCCGUAAACGAUGGGUACUAGGUGUAGGAAGGUAUCGACCCCUUCUGUGCCCGUCCGUUAACACAAUAAAGUUACCCCGCCCUUGGGGAGUACGGGUCCGCCAAGGACUUAAAACUCAAAAGGAAUUUGACNGGGGGCCCCGCCCAAAGCAGCCGGAAGCAUGUGGUUUAAUUCGAAGCAACGCGAAGAACCUUACCUAGACUUGACAUCUCCUGAAUUACCCUUACCCGGGAAGCCCUUCGGGGCAGGAAGACAGGUGGUGCAUGGUUGUCGUCAGCUCGUGUCGUGAGAUGUUGGGUUAAGUCCCGCAACGAGCGCAACCCUUAUUUUUAGUUGCUACCAUUCAGUUGAGCACUCUAAAGAGACUGCCCGGGUUAACCGGGAGGAAGGUGGGGAUGACGUCAAAUCAUCAUGCCCCUUAUGUCUAGGGCUACACACGUGCUACAAUGGUGAGAACAAAGAGACGCGAGACCGCGAGGUGGAGCAAAUCUCAUAAAACUCAUCCCAGUUCGGAUUGCAGGCUGAAACUCGCCUGCAUGAAGCCGGAGUUGCUAGUAAUCGCGAAUCAGCAUGUCGCGGUGAAUACGUUCCCGGGCCUUGUACACACCGCCCGUCACACCAUGAGAGUUGGCAAUACCCGAAGUCCGUGGGGCAACCAGUAAUGGAGCCAGCGGCCGAAGGUAGGGUCAGCGAUUGGGGUGAAGUCGUAACAAGGUAGCCGUAGGAGAACCUGCGGCUGGAUCACCUCCUU